GCUGAUCAUAGCACGAGUGCAAGAACCGAUAAGCGGGAUCGAUAGCUCAACGACCAGGAGGAAUGGAGUUUUCCGAGUCGGGAACAGCGCCCUCUGCUAUGUGAAGUGUUUCCCAGGCGCUGCCUGUAAUAACUUGCGCCCUCUUCUUGUCUGUGCAGCUGCAACUCUCCGUUAUGAUUGGCUCUGACUGACGGUGUCAGCUCCUCAUCCACGAUUGCGGGGAGUGUCACCAUGACAGCAGGAAGGGGCGUGUCCCAUGGCGCCGCUGUGCUGCUGCUGCGGCUCUGUGGUUUUUUUAGGUUUUGAUUUUUGUAGCGUUGGACGAGAAAAUCAAAACCUAAAGAAAAUACAGCGCUGACAGAACUUCCUGCAGGGGGCGCCAAGCACCGGGCUGCUGGACAUGAGGAGGUCUGCACACUUCCUGUGACCUUCAUCAAGUUUCAGGUUUUGUGGCUCGUUCAGCUGUGACAGUCUUGGAGGCGUCGCUGACCUUCGGCGAUCACGCCACAGCUGGAUGUUUGAGGCUGAUGUGUGCACUUCCUGUUUGUCCUUCCUCAGUAAAGCAGAGUGAAAAUAAA